rnacentral:rRNA from 1 species
AACGAACGCUGGCGGCAUGCCUAACACAUGCAAGUCGAACGAGGCCCUUCGGGGUUUAGUGGCGCACGGGUGCGUAACGCGUGGGAAUCUGCCCUUAGGUUCGGAAUAACAGCUGGAAACGGCUGCUAAUACCGGAUGAUAUCGCGAGAUCAAAGAUUUAUCGCCUGAGGAUGAGCCCGCGUUGGAUUAGGUAGUUGGUGGGGUAAAGGCCUACCAAGCCGACGAUCCAUAGCUGGUCUGAGAGGAUGAUCAGCCACACUGGGACUGAGACGCGGCCCAGACUCCUACGGGAGGCAGCAGUGGGGAAUAUUGGACAAUGGGGGAAACCCUGAUCCAGCAAUGCCGCGUGAGUGAUGAAGGCCCUAGGGUUGUAAAGCUCUUUUACCCGGGAAGAUAAUGACUGUACCGGGAGAAUAAGCCCCGGCUAACUCCGUGCCAGCAGCCGCAGUAAAAC